GGGCGAGUGGUGGAACGGCAUACACGGCGGACUUAAAAUCCGCUGCCCGAGAGGGCUUGAGGGUUCGAAUCCCUCCUCGCCCACCA
rnacentral:tRNA from 1 species